GGCUAGCUGAGCUGGUAGAGAGCUCCACUGAAAAUGGAGAGGUCCCUGGUUCGCACCAGUAGCCU
rnacentral:tRNA from 1 species